UGAAAGGCGGAAACAAAGGAGCUUAACGUUAUAUAUAUAAAAAAAAAAAAAAACGGACGGAGGUCUUAACUGCCUCAUAUAACGUUACUGAACGGAGGAUGUACUUUUAAUAUAACGUCUGUGAAUGUAUUUUGUCAUAUUUACAUAAGAUUUUACAUUAUCUGUACUUUUUGAGGCGUUAACAGACGGUUAUGGUCACGGUUACGCUCAUGUGAAUUUGUCUUUUUUUUUUUCGCGGUUAAACUGAAUGUAUGUUUGUCUCCUAAAGGAAACGGCAUUGUGUAGUAAAGACUAGCAUAAUUAUUUUGAGGCUGUUGAAGUGGUAACUGUUAAAAGUAUGUUUUACAUGUAAUAUUUCUUGUCGAGCUCCUGUCUUCAUUGUCCUCGCGCCGAGAGUUAAAGACACAGAAGCUGUUUGUGUGAGGAGUCACAGACCUGUGUGAGGAUGAGGAGGAGGUGUUCUUCUGAAGAGAGGGACAGACGGUUUAAGGAGAGUAAACUUCAGAAUAACAUCAAGUUAUCUUUAUUUUUACUAAGACUAAAAUAAUGUGGUUUUUUUUUAGAUGUUGAAAUCCAGAGACAAGAUAACUUCAUUCUUUUGAGACUGAUAACUCAAACCAACUUUGGAGUUGUCUUGUCUGAUUUGGAGAGUCAUUAUUCUUGGUCUUCACUCUUAAAGGCCACUGAUGAAGAACAGGCGGUGACUGGGAUGAAUCCUGGUCAGAGAGGAGAAUAUUCUUUCCCCUAAACUGAUGCAGCGGUGGUUUUAAAGGAGGACGCUGCCCUGGAUGAUGUAGAAGAUGUCACAUGCUGUGCUGAUGGGGCUUCUUCAUGACUACAUCAGUUAUGCUAAAGAGAUCAUGAAAAUUGACCGUGAUGCAUGAUCUGUAUUCAUGGACUAUGAAACAAACUGUAAGUGUAGAAUUUGUUAAAAAAAAAAAAAAAGUUAAAUGCUUUUUCUGUGUUGUUUAGUAGAAGAGUUUACACUCUGUCAUUCAUACACCUGUCACUUUCUUUCUCUCACACACACACACACACACACACACACACACAUGCGUCUGUUAAAUGUUAUAAUAUCAAAGUUAAUGUUGUGAUUUAUUUGUGUACUGUCAUGCCAGAAUAGUUGGAAAAAAACCUAACUAAUUGUAAAUUUA